AUGGAGCUGCCAUCAAACGCUCAAGCAGCCGCACAACUGGCUGGUCCAGGGGGCCCACCGCAAAACUUGGCUCCCAACCUUGAUUAUGGAGAAUACGACUACACUAUAGAGGAAUUAGAAACAUACGGGGAGUUAGAGACCAGUUUACCACAGAGACUAACGGAGGCCCUCAAUCAACAGCUGCCUGAGAACAAGCUGUUGGAAGAUGUUCCAGAAUAUAUACCAGAACUGAAUAUAAAUGAUGAUGACCUUUUGAAACCAGGUGUUCAUGUUCAACCCACUGAUUCUUUUGUUUAUCAAGAUCCUUUUGAAGUAGCUCAAACAUACUUGGAAAAACAUGGCAUUAUGCAAAUAUUCCAGCGGAUCACUGAAAACUUAAUAUAUGAACAGCCCGAUGACCCUUUGCGCUUUUUGCUGUGGCAGAUUCAGGACAUAAUCAAAGAGAGGGAUUCCUCCUAAAACCUGCAAAUAAAGAACACCUCAUUCUCCA
rnacentral:lncRNA from 1 species